rnacentral:rRNA from 1 species
GACGAACGCUGGCGGCGUGCUUAACACAUGCAAGUCGAACGGAAAGGCCCUGCUUUUGUGGGGUGCUCGAGUGGCGAACGGGUGAGUAACACGUGAGUAACCUGCCCUUGACUUUGGGAUAACUUCAGGAAACUGGGGCUAAUACCGGAUAGGAGCUCCUGCUGCAUGGUGGGGGUUGGAAAGUUUCGGCGGUUGGGGAUGGACUCGCGGCUUAUCAGCUUGUUGGUGGGGUAGUGGCUUACCAAGGCUUUGACGGGUAGCCGGCCUGAGAGGGUGACCGGCCACAUUGGGACUGGGAUACGGCCCAGACUCCUACGGGAGGCAGCAGUGGGGGAUAUUGCCCGAUGGGCGGAAGCCUGAUGCAGCAACGCCGCGUGCGGGAUGACGGCCUUCGGGUUGUAAACCGCUUUCGCCUGUGACGAAGCGUGAGUGACGGUAAUGGGUAAAGAAGCACCGGCUAACUACGUG